UUUUAGCCCUGAUCGUAAUGAAAACCCCGUAGUAAGAAUGCUGUUUUUUCUUGCGUUUUCAGAGCGACCAAAGGAAGCCCAAGAAAAUGCAUUAGAAAAAAAGCUUUUCGAACGAGGAGUUGCAAUGGAGAGCAGGAAUAGUC
rnacentral:sRNA from 1 species